rnacentral:sRNA from 1 species
GCGAUGAGCUAAUUUGCGUAAGACGAUAAGAUUUGCCUUGAGCUAAACGUCGAAUGUGGUCGACGGUCUUUCGCCGCAAACGUAAAGCCUCCUGCCAGGACAGGAGGC